AGCAGCUCGCGCUCAGCUUCAGUGUGGAGAAACGCUUUAGCCUAGCUGCGGAGCUACAAAGUGAACAUCGCCCUGCUUUCGGGCCGCCGAUGGAACACAAAGGAACAAAGCGGCGGUAUUGUCCUGACAAAACAAAAAAGUGCGUGAGAGAAAUAUUUCAGGGCCAUGACGUAAUCCAUCGCCCUGUUCACAUUACCAGCAAGCCUGAGGGAAGCUGCAUGAAAUAAAUGUAGAAAAAUAGAAAGUA